GGAGUCUGCGCAGCCAGGGACCUGCAGAGGGCGGGGCUCCAGGGCCAUCGCGGCAGGCGGUCCCAGGGGGCGGGAAGAGCAGAGGGGGGCCUGUCGGGGAGACGCCAGAAAGGGAUUGGGGGCUGUGGACUGUGGAGGGAAGGAGCCGGGAGACCUGCCCUGGGGGCUAUGCUGGUGGGGGCCCCCAGGCCACAGGGGGAUUCCAGGAGUGGAGGGUGAGCUGGAGACCCAGUCUGAGGAGGGAGGAGCAGGCCCCUCAUAUGCUGAGGGGGGAGACUCGGUCCUCAACCCGGGAGGAUUCUGUUGGUCCAGAAGCUGUUGGUUGAGCUGCUGGGGCAGGACCCUGGGUGGACCCCAGGGUAAAGGGAAUGUAGCCAAAGCUUCAGGGGACCUCCACCCUCCAGGAGCUGUGCUCUGGGACAGACAGCACCCUGAAGAAUGUGCUGAUCCAAGGCACCCUCUGGGAUGAGCCGUAUCCACCGGGUUCUCGUGAGGCUGGUGUGAGGGUCCCGCAUUCUCUCAUUGAUGUCGGCAUUUCCUGUUAAAUCAGCAAGAUCUUUCCUCCUCUUCCAGAAGUUCCUGAAAAAAUAACGGGUGCCUCAUGGUGGGUUUUCACAAUCUUGAGGCUGCAGUCGCCCCUUAGGCCCCACACCCUGCACCCAGCAGGGUCUCAACCAGUGACUCCCCAGUCAGCAACCGGCCAGCAUGCAUUGGGCAGACGUGGCCUCUGCUCCACUCAGGGCCCAUUUCAGCCACCUCGAAGCCGACGCUGCAGUUCACCGCCACCUCCAAGGACACAGCCCACCUUUUCCAGGCUGCGCCGGGACCUCCGCAGACCAGACCUCCUUCAGAGGCGCGGGCCCACAUGCAUGGAAAACGCCCUCCUACUGACACAGAACACCGAGAUUACACUCCGGGCCCGUCUGGACACCCGGGAUUAUCUCUGCGUUUUAGACGCUUCAAGGAACCACGUUUGCAGGCGCUCACCACGUGAGGCGACAGGCACAGGCCUGGACAGGACGGAGGGCAUCUUCGGGAGGCUUUCCUCCCCUCUCACUCCACUUUUCCCUCAGGACACCUGUGCUGCUGUUGCUGUAAAUCCUAAUUCCCCAGAAAUAUGUGAAACCCUGUAACAUGAUUGUUUUAUGCGGUUACGAUUCAUUAGGUUUGUACACAAUAUACCCUUUCUGUUGCUUUUGUUGGGGCUCAGAAAAUGACACCCGGAGUGAAGGCCUUGGAAGCCAGGCCUUCUCCUGCCCCCUGUCUCUGGCCCCUUAUUCUCCGAGGCAGGUCGUAGAAACCUGAACCCCUUUUCCCCAUAAACCUAAAGCCAGCCAUAAACCUAAAAGUACGACUCUAAUAACUUUCCUGUAUUUCUGUGUAAAAACUGGCCAUAAAGGAAUUCUCUGGCCUGCCUUGUUUGACUGCAGGUGUUCAGACCCCUAUUCCGGGGGAUUGUGCCCCCACCCAGCAAGAAGGAGAGCUGCAGAGAGAGGCUGCCAGGAACCGAAGCACACGGGCCUCACUGGGCCCCCCGGGAGUCUGUUAGCCUGUCAGGUCUUAACCUUUCGUCCAAUCCUAUUUCCAGACUUCACAGAGCCUGAGUAUAAAAUGCAGUUUCCCCUGCGCCUUUAGGUCUUUGCUCUGAAAGCUCCAGUGUCACAUAAAACUACAAUCCAAGAAA